CUAUGGGGUAGAGACGCUAGGCCGGCACUGCCUAGGUGGGCCGGGCGGUGCGAGGGUCGCCUUUCAGCCUUUACCUCUACCCACUGAAAUGGAGUAGGUCGGUGAGCGCCGAUCUGCUGGAGAAUCUCAUUAUCCCAUCGGCGCUCUGCCUGCUCCUGGCCUCCAAGCCUCUGAAGCCCCUCGGGUUUCAGCUGCCGGCUACCCUCGAGCCCGUGGUGCCCACGAGAGAGGCGACUUUACGUCAGCGGCCCUGGGCUGAGAUUUGAGAACGCGACCAAGUGGAGAAUGUUGGAGCCAGAUUUUAAAAUCCUUGUCUUCCUUCUGCGUGCUACUUGAUCUAAAUGAGAUACGGCAAAGUCACAGAACCUGUUUUUAUGUUUUUGCCUGAUUCAUACGGGCUUCUCCGGUGAAGAUGGGCCUGAAGUAACGCUUGGGUUGCUUCUGACGUUAUAACUCAUCCUGUAGCUGCAGCAACCGUGGUCCUUGCAACCUCAUAAAAAUGUUGCCAGCAUUGUUUCGAUAGUGCUGCUUAAUUCUUGGAAGGUUCUUCGGACUUCACACAUUCCAGCAGUAGCUCUCUCAGCUCCUGUCCUGCACAGCUUUGAAGUGCUGCGUCUUCAAAGUGUCUUCUGUAAAGACUUCUUCAGACUGUCAAUAGGAAGACUGAUAAACUCAGACAGGGUCUCACUCUGUUGCCCAGGUUGGAGUGCAAUGACAUGAUCAUGGUUCACCGCAGCCUGGCUCACUACUGCUUCACCUCCUGGGCUCAAAUGAUCCUCUCACCUAAGCCUCCUGAGGAGCUGGGACUACAGGCACACACCACCACACCCAGAUAAUAUAUUUUUAAAAUUUAUUAUUGGGACGGGGUCAUCCUAUGUUGCCCAAGUUAGUCUCAAACUCUUGAGCUCAAGUGAUCCUCCCACCUUGGCCUCCAAGGGUGCUGGGAUUGCAGGCCCAAGCCAUGACAUCUGGCCAUUUCUAAAUUCUUAAUGUGGAAUAUUUACAUUUUAUCGUUGGAAAGACAGCCUUCAAAGAUUAAUACUUAUUAAAUAAUAGAAUGUUCUUAGCAAACAAACAGUUAAUUUUUAAAAUGAAAAGUCAAGAUGAAAGAAAAAUAUUUCACAGAAUGUUAAUGAAGUGUGGGAUAAAUUUAGUAUCUUCAUAUAUUAACAUAAGAAGUAAUAAAAUGCAAUCACAAAAAUAGCCCUGGAAUUGAAUUGCAUGUUGGGAGUGAUGGUUUGAUGGCAACUCGGAAUACAAAAUGAGCAGAUUGAAGAGGUUCUAAUGUAUUCAGGGCCAGAGAAAUUAUUCUUUAAACUUUUCUUCCUCUUAGCUGUCUCCAUUAAUGUUCAUGGUCAGGUUGGCCUUUCGGAUAAAAGUGAGAUGAUGAACAUCAAAAUGCACAGAACCCUAUGGGACCACAUGGUGGUUACUCAAUACAUGUUUCUGAAUCUGAUUCUGAUAAAUAUAAGUCUAGUCUUUGAAAAAUUAACUAUCAGGGAAAGAAAGGGUCAGUAAGUUUUCUCUAUGGUGAGCCCAUCUUUUCCUUAUUUACUUAUUAUGUAUUAAACAGCUCCUAGGUGACAGGGCCUGUGCUAAGUGCUCAGUUCCUACCCUUAAUUAAAGACAGGCAUGCAAGGCUAUAAUUGUACCCACAUUCCUCUUGAGGUCACACCAGAGCUCUCUCCAGUGGGAAGAACUUUAAAUAGCCAAUCUCUAAUAAGCACAAGGGAGCCACAUCAUAGGAAAAAAUGUGAAAAGACAAUGGCAUUUUCCACUUCUUUACACCACCAACAAGGGGAAAUGGCUGAGCAGUGCGUCUUCCUCAAGAAAACGUUCCUUCAACUUUGAUAUCACUGUCAAUUGAAAAAUAUGACCAUAGAUUUCUUCCACUCUAGAAUCCACUCCCUUUUGUCAUAUGUCUUUGCUGCUUCAUUCAGUGGUGAGGUUGCUGUCCCACUUCUUGAAUCUGGGAUGGCUUUCUGAUGGCUUUGGCAGAUAGAAUAUGACAGAAGUGGGGACGAGGGUUCAUGCCUAUAACACCAGCACUUUGGGAGGCUGGGGGAGGGGGGAGGAUCACUUGAGGUCAGGAGUUCAAGACCAGCCUGGCCAACAUGGUGAAACCCCAUCUCUUCUAAAAAUACAAAAAUUAGCUGGGUGUGGUGGCUCAAGCCUGUAAUCCCAGCUACUCGUGAGGCUGAGGCAGAAGAAUUGUUUGAAUGCGG
ensembl:lncRNA HULC hepatocellular carcinoma up-regulated long non-coding RNA